AUCAGUUGCAACAUCGCUCGCCGCCUUCGUAAGCGCUUUACCGUCGGAGUUCGGGACUUCCCGUGACAUCGGCGCAGUUCGCGGCAGCUGGCAGUCAUGUGCAGCACCACCUGCAUCAGUGGAGAAGGAAAGCGGGGGUUGAUAGAACCACGCUCUGCGAGGCGUCAUCUGUCACGUGGUUUAUUACGACAGCGUCUCGGCGGAUUCAUUUGAGGUGCCCCAUUGACGACAAAGGCAUCGCAUAGCAGCAGCCUCAUUGUUCAUCUCGGACGCGUUCAGAGGAGCGGAACAUGAAAACUUGGACACUGUCCUUGGUAGCAGGUGUCUUCCUUUUAAUAACGGUGACAGCGUGCCGCGCGGCAGACGGAGAGGAGGAGCGUGAAGGCAGCAUCCUUGGCGCCAUGAGCGACUUCUUCGGCAACACCUUGAAUACGUUUGUCAACGCGGCCGAGCACGUGAUGGGCAUCAUCGGCUUCCAAAGGCCUCCGUACACGUCGGUGGGACAAACGCAGGCACUUGAGUAGCAAAACGGCAGCGUCGACUUUCCCGCGACUUGAUGUUGGACGCUGGACUACCACUUCAAUUCCGCCUUCUUCUUGUACGCUCUACUUGAAAAACGCACAAUUGGUCAAUAAAACGCAGCAUAUGUA